UUAGCCGCACACUAAAAAAAAAAAAAAACCCCUAAGGUCUCGUCUUUCUUUAAGAGAAAAUCAUCAUCUUAAGGGGGAAGGCGACGGGUGUUUGAUCAUCAAGCAAGGAAUCCCAAGUGAUUUCGAGGAGGCAUCGUGAUUGGUAAUAUGAUAGUCUUUUGUAUUUGAGUGACUUUCGCAUCACAGCUUGCUGCUUCGGUUGACUUAUUUCGCGUCCAAGUUUUUGCACCACAUGCAUCUUUUCUGUGCCCACCUCGAAGGGAUUAUCACCGGGCUUGUCUAUGUUCAGCUGAGAGAUUCUUUUUGUUGAACUGACCCAGUUGCUGCUCUUGUUAGAGUGGUGGUAGGAUAGCUGGGAGGACGUUGAGGUUUUUUUCGAGCUCAUUUAGGCCUCAGGGUCCUAGCUAGUAUAUCGGGAAGCCAGAGUAAGAGGUGAUGUUCAUCGGAUUCAUUUUGGAAAUGUCAAGUUUGUAAUUUUGAUAAAUCAGGAUUGGUUGAUCUAUGUGAGAUGUGCAGCACAGAGCGCAAUCGAGCUGCAUUGUCAUUCGCAAGGUAGCUCCAUCAUAUGGAUAUAUGAUUAGAAUAUGGAGAAUAAUGUGAUCUUUUUUAACUAAGAUGGGGUUUUUCUUGUUUCGUGCAUGUUCAAGUUGGCAAGUUUCAGUUGUCCUUCUUGAUUAGCUACUCGUUGAGUUGAACUUCUGAAGAUGAUGCGGUUGGCAAUUUACUGUAAGUUUGAGUUAAAGAAAACUAGUGGACAGUAGUUAAUUGCUGUUGUAUAUAUGUUGAUGUAGAUAUUAUAUCUGAGAACUGCUAAUUCUAUUACUCUGAUUACAUGAACUUGAAUUAAGAAUCUGAUAUAGUUGUUA